rfam:Camelus ferus unplaced genomic scaffold scaffold465, whole genome shotgun sequence.
GAAGGGUAGAGCUCAGUGGUAGAUUGCAUGCCUAGCAUGCACGAGGGCCUGGGUUCAAUCCCCAGGACCUUCA